GACGAACGCUGGCGGCGUGCUUAACACAUGCAAGUCGAGCGGAAAGGCCACUUCGGUGGUACUCGAGCGGCGAACGGGUGAGUAACACGUGAGUAAUCUGCCCCUCACUUUGGGAUAGCCACCGGAAACGGUGAUUAAUACCGGAUAUGACCAUAUGUCGCAUGGCGUGUGGUGGAAAGUUUUUCGGUGAGGGAUGUGCUCGCGGCCUAUCAGCUUGAUGGUGAGGUAAUGGCUCACCAUGGCUUCGACGGGUAGCCGGCCUGAGAGGGUGACCGGUCACACUGGGACUGAGACACGGCCCAGACUCCUACGGAAGGCAGCAGUGGGGAAUAUUGGACAAUGGGCGGAAGCCUGAUCCAGCAACGCCGCGUGAGGGAUGACGGCCUUCGGGUUGUAAACCUCUUUCAGUACCGACGAAGCGAAAGUGACGGUAGGUACAGAAGAAGCACCGGCCAACUACGUG
rnacentral:rRNA from 1 species